UUUUAAACUUGAUCUCCGCAGUGCCCUCCCUUUUCGGCCGCGGCGCGUGACUGGGAAGCAGUGUGAGCUAGCGUCUAAGGAUUGUGAAAACUGAGCAAGUGCCCAGAACUAGAAACUUCCCAGCCCCCUGAACUCAGCCUCAGGGUAAGCGAGUUUAAUAGUGCUUCCUUUGAUUUUCAAAUCUGUGGAAGGUUUGUUUCAGUUUUUCCCAGACAAAUAUUGUUGGGAUAGUGUUUCUUUUCAAAAAUGGAUAGGAUUCAAUGCUCAUCAGUGGGAAGAUAGUGACUCCUGACCAUUUUCCUCCUAGCUGGAAACUACAGAAGACUCCCAAGUAUCAGGAAAUUUGGAGAAUUUGUACAGGAAUUAUAUUCAGAGAUAGCAAUUUAUUUACUCAUCAAAGAGAGCUAUUGGAUAGCCACCAUAAAGACCACUCAUUAAAAAACAAAAUUGCAUGAUAUUCUUAACAUUGUCUUUCACUUUUUUUAACCAGGCUUGGUGGAGUUUCAAGAUGCUGAUGAACUUAAGGUCUGGCGCUUGAAAGAAUCAGUGAAGCUUUUCAAGUAGAGGAGGUAUAUUUGAAUAUGUAACCUUUAGUAUCUACAGAAUAGAGGUUGCUUUUUUUUUUUUUUGGUGUUUCCAGUGAAAUCUAUGGCAAGAUGGUUUGGGGUCACUAUCUACAUGAACUGCCAAGUUGGAAAAUCAAAAAUACAUCAAAAUCACUCUUGGGACAUAAGUCACGGAAGUGACUCAUGCACACAAUAAAUACCCAAGAAGCAGGACCAGACGGCAGUUGUGUAUUGGCACGCUCAUCAGUGCUGCAAAAAUUCCCCUUCUGGAUGGCAACAACAAUGCUGUAUCCACAGCAGCAUUUUAAAUCUCACCUCUGAUGUAUCCAUUGUUGUGGGCAUGAGAUGGCAGAAAGUGGGAUAUGGAAAAUGUUGCCGUGCGCCAUUCCGAAUACUACUGUGGCUUCCCUGCAGCAUUACUUUCCAUAUUGGCUGUUUUCCAUUUCAGGAAAGCUUAGGAUGUCCUUGGUAAAUACUGGCUAACCAAGAAAUUUGAAAAAUGAAAGGAGGCUGAGUAAUUGGUCUUGGGUUGAAACGGGGUGAUGCUGCAUAAACUACGUGGUUGACUCUGAAAAGCUGGCUAAAAAGCCAGUCUGCAUUCCUUGUCCUCAUUUCCUUGGAGUAAUGAAGGGUGCUUCUUAGAAGAGGGAUAGAUUCAAGUAUGGGUUGUGAGUCAUUCUUCUUUUCUGUAUGUAAUAGGUCUAACCACAGGGCCUGUUGAGCCCUGCCCUGGUGACCAAGAGCAUUUUCUGACAUGAACAGAGUUAGGCCAUCUUGCCCGUAUGAGCAGAGUUCUUCAGAUGUCCCUUAGGAUUCUAGGUUUCAUACCUUCCCUGCCACUCCCCCACUACCAAAUCCCCUUACCCUAUAGCCUAGCAAUGCAGAGUUGUCCAAUAUAGAACCUCUGUUAAACAUAGCAUCACCCAGGAAAAUGGGAUGAGUGGUUGCAGUCAGUACCACAGUUCUGCAGAAUCAACUUGACUCUACUUUGAAGAAAGGAAUGGAACAGAAGGUGUCUGCAUAACUAAAUGGGGAUCUAGAGAAAGUGGAGACUGCCUCUGGAGCAGGGAGGUGAGUGGACCAGAUCACUGUGGGCCUGGGCCUACUCAGCUGAUUUUCAAGCUAAAACCAGGGGUAACUUUUCCUCUUGAGACGAAAGCCAUGCUCACAUUCUGUGAACAGCCAGAGAUGUGUUCGAAAGGCUUACUUUUAUUUUGUACUAGAAAAGAUUGUCUUUCCAAAAUUUACCUCGUAUUCAUAAACUGGAAAGUUCUUCUAGAUGAAUGACUGAUGAAGACACAACAGCACGGUGGUGAGGCCAUUGAAUGCUUCUAAGACUGCACUUGGCAACAUCACAAGCUGCAGAAUCCCGUGCCACAUAUGACCUGCUGUUCACCGGUUCUUGCCAGGAUCACACCUAUUACUUUUGAGAGAACCCAAACUAAAACAUAGUCAAGCCAGGAAGAUGACACUGAAAGGAGGAGGAAGAGGAGGACACAUUUUGUAGAAGAUAAAAUGCCACAUGCUUGGAACUCAGUCAUGAGCCCCAGGAAACAGUGAUAGAUACUUCCUUU
rnacentral:lncRNA from 10 species